rnacentral:rRNA from 1 species
CCUACGGGAGGCAGCAGUGAGGAAUAUUGGUCAAUGGGCGAGAGCCUGAACCAGCCAAGCCGCGUGAGGGAGUACUGCCCUAUGGGUUGUAAACCUCUUUUGUCGGGGAGCAAAAGCCGGACGUGUCCGGCUGUGAGAGUACCCGAAGAAAAAGCAUCGGCUAACUCCGGGCCAGCAGCCGCGGUAAUACGGAGGAUGCGAGCGUUAUCCGGAUUUAUUGGGUUUAAAGGGUGCGCAGGCGGAUUUUUAAGUCAGCGGUAAAAUCGUGGGGCUCAACCCCAUCCAGCCGUUGAAACUGGGGAUCUAGAGUGUGCGAGAGGUAUGCGGAAUGCGUGGUGUAGCGGUGAAAUGCAUAGAUAUCACGCAGAACCCCGAUUGCGAAGGCAGCAUACCGGUGCACAACUGACGCUCAGGCACGAAAGCGUGGGUAUCGAACAGGAUUAGAUACCCGAGUAGUC